rnacentral:rRNA from 1 species
GACGAACCGUCCAAACGUUAUUCGGAAUCACUGGGCUUACAGAGUUCGUAGGCGGUCUGGAAAGUUGGGUGUGAAAUCCCUCGGCUCAACCGAGGAACUGCGCUCAAAACUACCCGACUCGAGGGAGAUAGAGGAAAGCGGAACUGAUGGUGGAGCGGUGAAAUGCGUUGAUAUCAUCAGGAACACCGGUGGCGAAGGCGGCUUUCUGGGCCUUACCUGACGCUGAGGAGCGAAAGCGUGGGGAGCGAACAGG